rnacentral:lncRNA from 1 species
UAUUCAGAUGAGAUACGUAUGCAGUGGAUGCGACAUCCGCGCGAGUCAUUUUCAUUUAACCCUUUUUUUUAGCAAACAGCACAAGAUAAACCCACACCCUUUAGACAAAAAACACAAAAGUGGAUCCCGUAGUGUACUAAGGAUGCGUAGGGGUGCUAAUACCUUCCCUUCGCAUAACCGACUCCCGAACCCAAGAUUUGGUUGCGAG